rnacentral:rRNA from 1 species
UACGUAGGGGGCAAGCGUUGUCCGGAAUUAUUGGGCGUAAAGAGCGCGUAGGCGGUCCGGUAAGUCGGUUGUGAAAGUCGGGGGGCUCAACCCUCGGAUGCCGAUCGAUACUGUCGGGCUAGAGUCCGGAAGAGGCGAGUGGAAUUCCUGGUGUAGCGGUGAAAUGCGCAGAUAUCAGGAGGAACACCUAUAGCGAAGGCAGCUUACUAGGCUGUAACUGACGCUGAGGCACGAAAGUGUGGGGAGUACAAACAGGG